GGGUCAGUAGGUUGGUCGUGCCACCGGUACGUACUGGUCUCGCUGAUUCCUCCUUCCUGAAGAACCGUAAUGCCAUUAAUUUGGUGUUGCGGGGAAACAGGACUGUUACUCUGAAAAAAUUAGAGUGUUUAAAGCAAGCUAACGCUUGAAUACAUUAGCAUGGAAUAAUGAAAUAGGACGAUCGAUCCUAUUUUGUUGGUUUCUAGGAUUGACGUA
rnacentral:rRNA from 1 species